rnacentral:misc_RNA from 1 species
CUUACUUCCUUUUACUACAAUUAUAUAAAUUUAUGAAUCUAAGAUCAUUUUAUUCAUACCAGUGAGAGGACUUGAAGAUUGAUAUCUCAAAUUUUAAAACUCCGAACAAACUUACUCAGCUGAAAAUCUUAAAACUCAAACUUAUCCAACUGAAAACUUCUGAUUCAAGACAUGGAUGUAGAUAAAAUUAUAAGCAAGAUUCAGAAUGGGGACUUUAAAGAUGUGAAACGAUUUAUCAAAAAAAAUCCUGAUCAAGUCAACAACAGAAAUUCAAAAGGUGUUACGGUUCUCAUGGUUGCCUGUGAACAAGGCAAUAAAGAGUUAAUAACCUUAUUGACAGAAUCUGGCGCUGAUCUCAACAUCAGUGACGAAGACAAGAAGUGGACAGCAUUGCAUUAUGCAGUGGAGAAGCACAAAACUGAUGUUGUGGCCUUCUUAGUCUCCAGUGGAGCAAAUGUUAAUAAGCAGGACUCAGGGGGCAACACACCUCUACAUCUGGCUGUGAAGAAGAACUAUGAAGAUGUAGUCAAAGUCCUGUUAAAUAGCAAAGAAAAUAACAAUUUACAGGUUAAUCAGCAAAAUGAAUUGGGCUGGACAGCUCUCCAUUUUGCCUGUCGCUAUGGAAGCAAGGACGUUGUUGAACUUCUCCUGAAACAUAAAGACACGGAUGUUAAAGCUGAGACCAAGCAAGGUUCCACCCCUCUACAACUUGCCUCUGCUCAUCGACACAAGGAAGUUGUUGAUUUUCUCCAGCAACAGAAUGGCAUCAAUGCCAAUAAGGUGGACGAAGAGGGUGACACCCCUCUCCAUCUGGCAGUUCAAAACCACCGAACGGAUUCUGUGGCCUUCUUAGUCUCCAGUGGAGCAAAUGUUAAUAAGCAGGACUCAUGGGGCGACACACCUCUACAUCUGGCUGUGUGGAAUAACUAUGAAGAUGUAGUCAAAGUCCUGUUAAAUAGCAAAGAAAAUAACAAUUUACAGGUUAAUCAGAAAAAUAAUUUUAGUGCAACAGCUCUCCAUGUUGCCUGUCAAUAUGGAAGCAAGGACGUUGUUGAACUUCUCCUGCAACAUAAAGACACGGAUGUUAAGGCUGUGAUGGAAGAUGGUUCGACAGCUCUCCAUCUUGCCUGUCGCUAUGGAAGCAAGGACGUUGUUGAACUUCUCCUGCAACAUAAAGACACGGAUGUUAAAGCUGUGAUGGAAGAUGGUUCGACAGCUCUCCAUCUUGCCUGUCGCUAUGGAAGCAAGGACGUUGUUGAACUUCUCCUGCAACAUAAAGACACGGAUGUUAAGGCUGUGAUGGAAGAUGGUUCGACAGCUCUCCAUCUUGCCUGUCGCUAUAGAAGCAAGGACGUUGUUGAACUUCUCCUGCAACAUAAAGACACGGAUGUUAAUGCUGUGACCAACCAUGGUUACACCCCUCUACAUCUUGCCUCUUCUCAUGGACGCACGGAAGUUGUUGAUUUUCUCCUGAAACAGAAAGGCAUGGAUGUCAAUAAGGUGAACCUCAAGGGUGACACCCCUCUCCAUCUGGCAGUUCAAAAGCACAAAAUUGAUGUUGUGGCCUUCUUAGUCUCCAGUGGAGGAAAUGUUAAUAAGCAGGACUCAGGGGGCAACACACCUCUACAUCUGGCUGUGAAGAAUAAAUAUGAAGAUGUAGUCAAAGUCCUGUUAAAUAGCAAAGAAAAUAACAAUUUACAGGUUAAUCAGCAAAAUGAAUUGGGCUGGACAGCUCUCCAUUUUGCCUGUCGCUAUGGAAGCAAGGACGUUGUUGAACUUCUCCUGCAACAGAAUGGCACGGAUGUUAAAGCUGAGACCAAGCAAGGUUCCACCCCUCUACAACUUGCCUCUGCUCAUCGACACAAGGAAGUUGUUGAUUUUCUCCAGCAACAGAAUGGCAUCAAUGCCAAUAAGGUGGACGAAGAGGGUGACACCCCUCUCCAUCUGGCAGUUCAAAACCACCGAACGGAUUCUGUGGCCUUCUUAGUCUCCAGUGGAGCAAAUGUUAAUAAGCAGGACUCAUGGGGCGACACACCUCUACAUCUGGCUGUGUGGAAUAACUAUGAAGAUGUAGUCAAAGUCCUGUUAAAUAGCAAAGAAAAUAACAAUUUACAGGUUAAUCAGAAAAAUAAUUUUAGUGCAACAGCUCUCCAUGUUGCCUGUCAAUAUGGAAGCAAGGACGUUGUGGAACUUCUCCUGCAACAUAAAGACACGGAUGUUAAGGCUGUGAUGGAAGAUGGUUCGACAGCUCUCCAUCUUGCCUGUCGCUAUGGAAGCAAGGACGUUGUUGAACUUCUCCUGCAACAUAAAGACACGGAUGUUAAGGCUGUGAUGGAAGAUGGUUGGACAGCUCUCCAUCUUGCCUGUCGCUAUGGAAGCAAGGACGUUGUUGAACUUCUCCUGCAACAUAAAGACACGGAUGUUAAGGCUGUGAUGGAAGAUGGUUCGACAGCUCUCCAUCUUGCCUGUCGCUAUAGAAGCAAGGACGUUGUUGAACUUCUCCUGCAACAUAAAGACACGGAUGUUAAGGCUGUGAGGGAACAUGGUUGGACAGCUCUCCAUCUUGCCUGUCGCUAUGGAAGCAAGGAUGUUGUUGAACUUCUCCUGCAACAGAAUGGCACGGAUGUUAAUGCUGUGACCAACCAUGGUUACACCCCUCUACAUCUUGCCUCUUCUCAUGGACGCACGGAAGUUGUUGAUUUUCUCCUGAAACAGAAAGGCAUGGAUGUCAAUAAGGUGAACCUCAAGGGUGACACCCCUCUCCAUCUGGCAGUUCGAAACCACAAAACUGAUGUUGUGGCCUUCUUAGUCUCCAGUGGAGCAAAUGUUAAUAAGCAGGACUCAUUUGGCAACACACCUCUACAUUGGGCUGUGGGGAAUAACUAUGAAGAUGUAGUCAAAGUCCUGUUAAAUAGCAAAGAAAAUAACAAUUUACAGGUUAAUCAGAAAAAUAAAUUGGGUUCGACAGCUCUGCAUGAUGCCUGUCGCUAUGGAAGAAAGGACGUUGUUGAACUUCUCCUGAAACAUAAAGACACGGAUGUUAAUGCUGUGGAGAACAAAGGUUGGACAGCUCUCCAUCUUGCCUGUCGCAAUGGAAGCAAGGACGUUGUUGAACUUCUCCUGCAACAGAAUGGCACGGAUGUUAAAGCUGUGAUGGAAAAUGGUUGGACAGCUCUCCAUGUUGCCUGUCGCUAUGGAAGCAAGGACGUUGUUGAACUUCUCCUGCAAGAUAAAGACACGGAUGUUAAAGCUGUGAAGGAAGAUGGUCAGACAGCUCUCCAUCUUGCCUGUCGCAAUGGAAGCAAGGACGUUGUUGAACUUCUCCUGCAACAGAAUGGCACGGAUGUUAAUGCUGUGACCAAGCAAGGUAACACCCCUCUACAUCUUGCCUCUACUCGUGAACGCACGGAAGUUGUUGAACUUCUCCUGAAACAGAAAGGCAUCGAUAUCAAUAAGGUGAACCUCGAGGGUGACACCCCUCUACAUCUGGCAGUUCGAAAUCAACACUAUGAUGUGGUGGCUUCAAUGCUGGCCCAGGAUUCAGUGAAACUGGAUAUUGAGAACGAUGAUAAAAGAACACCCUUACUGGAAGCCGUGUAUGCAGCCCACAUCGGAAUAGUCCAUGAAAUCAUCACGUGCGGUGCAAAGAUGAAUGCCGUUGACAAGGAUGGCAAUAAUUGUUUGCAUAUUGCAGCAGAGAAAGAGGAAUUUCAUUCUGAGGUGAAACGCAUUCCUAUUUUAGAUGAGUGCUGCAGAGAGCUCCAACUGGACAAGGAUAGGAGGCUCUCUGAAAUAGUAGUUUUGAGUUAUCUUGCCAGCCAUGGAGCCAGCUUAUACCAUCGUAAUGAUGAGAAAGUGACCCCAUUGGACUGCAUAGAAAAUCAACAUUUGAAAGAAAAAUUAAAAACAUUUUUACAAUCACUGUGUUGGUGGUGUCAAGAGAAAAAGGCUACUGUCACACUCCAUCCAUGUCGACAUACUAUUUGUUGUCAGAAUUGCUGUUCUCAAAUGACAUUUAAGCAAUGCCCCAUAUGUCGACAACACAUACGCAGCAUAAGUGGAUUUGUGUGUCCAAAGUCUGAAGAAAAAGCAGUCCAGACGGUUGCAGAAUCUGUUGAAUGUCCAAAGUGUAAAGAAAAAGUAGAAUCUUUGAGUCUGUAAUGGUAGAGGAGAAGCAUCUUCAUAGGGUGUCCCAAAAGUUGGCAGGUAAAUGGCAGCCACUUGGAAGGGAAUUAGGA